GAUGAACGCUGGCGGCGUGCCUAAUACAUGCAAGUCGAGCGAACAGACGAGGAGCUUGCUCCUCUGACGUUAGCGGCGGACGGGUGAGUAACACGUGGAUAACCUACCUAUAAGACUGGGAUAACUUCGGGAAACCGGAGCUAAUACCGGAUAAUAUAUUGAACCGCAUGGUUCAAUAGUGAAAGACGGUUUUGCUGUCACUUAUAGAUGGAUCCGCGCCGCAUUAGCUAGUUGGUAAGGUAACGGCUUACCAAGGCAACGAUGCGUAGCCGACCUGAGAGGGUGAUCGGCCACACUGGAACUGAGACACGGUCCAGACUCCUACGGGAGGCAGCAGUAGGGAAUCUUCCGCAAUGGGCGAAAGCCUGACGGAGCAACGCCGCGUGAGUGAUGAUGGUCUUCUGAUCGUAAAACUCUGUUAUUAGGGAAGAACAAAUGUGUAAGUAACUAUGCACGUCUUGACGGUACCUAAUCAGAAAGCCACGGCUAACUACGUG
rnacentral:rRNA from 1 species